GCCACAGAGGGGUUUUUGUCACGUAAUGGAAGAUUCCCAAGCCUUUCUAGAGGCUGCUGAUGUAGCAAACGCUGUCGUAGAUGCUCUGUCCACAUCAUCUGUAACACAGAUUUGUGAACUGAUCAUCUCGCCUAUACCGAAUAAACAUGUUUAUUAAAAAGAAGACUAAUAAAAAAAUUCUGCAUCAAUUUCCUUUAUCCCUUCCAACAGUUUAAUAUAAACAUUAUAACAUUUGUAUUAAAUUAACGUAUAAUCUGUC